AUAACUUGGUUGUCAAUGGGGGGGGACAGUGUCGCCACUGACCAUCUGUCACCAUCAUGCUAUGCGUGUGGGGGCAGACUGCGGAUAUGCACAGACUUAAUAUUGGCCUUCCUAAUUCCUAAGUGACUUCCUCCCAGCAACCACCGGGAGCCAUGCGGGAGGAAGAGAGGAGGUGUGGGAACUCUGACUCCCAUCAGGCUGAG